rnacentral:rRNA from 1 species
GAUUAACGCUGGCGGCGUGCAUAACACAUGCAAGUCGAACGAAGUGGCGGACGGGUGAUUAACGCGUGAGUAAACUGCCAUAGAGAAGGGGAAAGCCUUUGGAAACGAAGAAUAAUACCCUAUGGUCUAAGAUGGACUUGCGUCUGUUUAGUUAGUUGGUGGGGUAAAGGAACACCAAGACAGCGAUCAGUAGCCGGCUUGAGAGAGUGUACGGCCACAUUGUGACUGAGACACGGCCCAGACUCUACGGGAGGCAGCAGUGGGGAAUGUUGCACAAUGGGGGAAACCCUGAUGCAGCGACGCCGCGUGAUUUAGAAGGCCUUCGGGUUGUAAAAAUCUUUUCUAUGGGAAGCAGUACCAUAGGAAUAAGGACCGGCUAAUUACGUGCCAGCAGCCGCGGUAAUAC